rnacentral:rRNA from 1 species
UACAGAGGUGGCAAGCGUUGUUCGGAAUUACUGGGCGUAAAGGGCGCGUAGGCGGCUUUCCAAGUCCUGUGUGAAAUCCCUCGGCUCAACUGAGGAAUUGCACGGGAAACUGUUUGGCUUGAGUUCGGGAGAGGGAAGCGGAAUUCCGGGUGUAGCGGUGAAAUGCGUAGAUAUCCGGAGGAACACCGGUGGCGAAGGCGGCUUCCUGGACCGACACUGACGCUGAGGCGCGAAAGCUAGGGGAGCAAACGGG